rnacentral:lncRNA from 1 species
AAAAAAGAGCUCUGUGGUCAGAAGUUGGCUUAAUUAAAAACAGGUGAGCUGAUCUUCAAGCCAUGUAUCUACAGCCUUUUCUGCUUUUGGACCCUGUUUCUGGGAAUUUUUUUUUCAGGUGACUGAAACCCCUUUAAAUUGUGUGUUUGGUCCUUCUGUUUGGUUCCUUUGUUGGUAUAAUUUUGAUGAGAAAAAUGUAAAAUUGUAUUGGCCUUUUAGAACCUUAACAUUUUUCCAAAUUGGCUCCUCUAAGGAUUGCAGUCCCAUUUACUUCUACCCCUCCGUGCUCCUCCAUCCCCUUUGCCAUCUUUGGUACCUAAUGAAGGGAUCUACAAGGGACUUCUGAUGACUUAGAGACCCCUUGGGGAACGCAAAGAAAGGUGCCACGCGCCCCGCUUUUGUCUUCCUUAUGGGGCCUGAGGAGUCGUGGGUAGCUUCCUCUCGGGUCUAAAGCUUGGCUGUCUUUGGCACUGUGUCACUGGAUCUCUUUGGCUUUGGGGGUACCAGGGAUUACGUUGCACUGUGAGACAGUGCAUGACCUGAGUGUGUGUGAUGGCCGGCAGGUCACUGGCGAGGGCUGCCUCACAGUUUUGGAGGUGGCUGAAAGCAGUUGUAGUGAAUGGUUGUUCCUGCAGUGGCUGCUUGUUUCUCUGCAUGUUUAGAUGAGAAAGGCACAAUCUGAACACUUGGAGACUAUGGAAGCACUUGGCGUCAAAGGCUGAGACUCCGUGGGCUGAUUGCUGUGGGUCUCCCACCAGCCUCAGGGGAAUGUCUUCAUAGUGAGGUACACUGUGGAAACACUGUAUGGCUUUGUCUCAUAUAUAUCUCUUUUUAGAGGGAACUCAGCAUUCAGUGUAAAUGUGGGAUCCUUGAUUUUAAAAGAUCUAGAUGCUCUGCCUUCCAGCUGCACCUGUUUUUCACAUAUUUAAAUAUUAGGUCCUCCAAACUGCAAAUGCUUUUUUGGCCAUGUUCAUUAAUGAGCUCUGUCCUGAGCCCAGUGGUCUAGUUCAAAAAUGGAGAAUAAAUUAAUAGCCACAUAUUUAAAUAACAUUGUUGUCCUUAUAAAAUCCUGUGGUGAAUUUCUAUGACUUUUUGUUACCUCAGCAUCCAUUUAAAAUCUUCCUUUAACAUACUAAAUCAAAGCUUAAACUUUCUCCCUGUGGAAUUGCUUGAACCAAGGAGGCAGAGGUUGCAGUGAGUCAAGAUCGUGCCGUUGCACUCCAACCUGGGCGACAGAGCAAGACUCCGUCUUGAAAAAAUUCAGUCUUUGGCUUUGAGCCUCUACAUUCUGGGGUCAAGACAAGUGGACAUGAUGUGGCCUGGAGACAUCUGUGUGUCCGCAGUACCUAAGCCCCAUCCUCCCUGGCCCAGCUGUACCCCCCGGUCAUGCUGUUUGUCUGCAGUGCCCGAGCCCCGUCCUCCCUAGCCCAGCUGUGCCCCCCGGCCAUACUGUGUGUCUGCAGUGCCUGAGCCCCGUCCUCCCUAGCCCAGCUGUGCGCCCCAGCCAUGCUGUGUGUCUGCAGUGCCCGAGCAUUGUCCUCUCUUGCCCAGCUGUGCCCCCCGGUCAUGCUGUGUGUCUGCAGUGCCCGAGCAUUGUCCUCCCUGGCCCAGCUGUGCCCCCCGGUCAUGCUGGGAGGGGUUGAGUCCUCCAGGCAUUGUCUUUGUAGUAGCCCAUUCUCACACUGCUAAUAAAGACAUACCUGAGACUGGGUGAUUUGUAAAGGAAAGAGGUUUAAUUGACUCACAGUUCAGCGUGGCUGGGAAGCCUCAGGAAACUUACAAUCAUGGCGGAAGAGGAAGCAAACACGUUCUUCACAUGAGGUCAGGAAGGAGGUGUGCAGAGCGAAGAGUGGGGAAGCACCUCAUGAAACCAUGAGACCUCGUGAGAACUCACUAGCACAAAAACAGCGUGGGGGAACCGCCCCCUUCAUCUAAUCACCUCCCACUGGGUCCCUCCCACAACACCUGUGGAUUUUGGGAACUACAGUUCAAGAUGAGAUUUGGGUGGGGACACAGCCAAACCAUAUCAGUCUUUAAAGCUCUGUCCUUUGUCCUGGGCUUUGCAUCUUUAAUAACAAUUAAAAUUGCUUACUUCCCAUGUUUUUCACUGAAAAUUAGGCUUCCUAAGAGUUAACAUUGUAAUUAAUAUAUGUAUUUAAAACUACUAGAUAUAAGAGAAACACUUCUGUAUGCAAAGUUUAUAAGAAAGUAGGAUGUGUUUUUGGUAAGGAAGGUUAUAAAGAAGGCAUGAGAAUGAGGUUUUUGUUAAAGGAAAAGUAAUUUUGUCUAGUUUUGAUGUUUUUAAAGGUUGUUUUAAAUUAAAGGAAUAAAAAAAUGAUAGAUAAAACUGAAUAUAUAUAGAAAGUUUGAGAAACAAAGAAUGGAACAAAUUUUAAGAGGUUAUUAAAGGUUUAUGGAAAUCUUAUGUGGUCAAAGCUGAUUGAGAUUGAAUGGAUCUGUUUUUAAGUUUUUAUUAAAAUUAGCUUUAGUAUUAAUAAUAUGCUAAUGUAAAGGUAGAAUUUAGUUUUCAUUUUUGAGUAAGAUUUUCAUGUAGUAUUAAUAA